AUCUGAGUUCAGACCGGAGCAAUCCAGGUCAGUUUCUAUCUAUAAGAAGCCUUCUCUAGUACGAAAGGACCGAAAAGGCAUAGCCAAUACAUCAGCAAGCUAUUCUCACUAACUUAUGACUUAAACUCAAUAAAUAACUAGUUCAAUACCCCUCCCCUAGAAAAAGGAA
rnacentral:rRNA from 1 species